rnacentral:rRNA from 1 species
CCUACGGGAGGCAGCAGUGGGGGAUAUUGGACAAUGGGGGGAACGCUGAUCCAGCGACACCGCGUGAGUGAAGAAGUAUUUCGGUAUGUAAAGCUCUGUCAGCAGGGAAGAAAGAAAUGACGGUACCUGACCAAGAAGCCCAGGCUAACUACGUGCCAGCAGCCGCGGUAAUACGUAGGGGGCAAGCGUUAUCAGGAAUUACGGGGUGUAAAGGGAGCGUAGACGGUUAAGUAAGUCUGGAGUGAAAGGCUGGGGCCCAACCCCGGGACUGCUCUGGAAACUAUUGAACUUGAGUGCAGGGGAGGUAAGCGGAAUUCCUAGUGUAGCGGUGAAAUGCGUAGAUAUUAGGAGGAACACCAGUGGCGAAGGCGGCUUACUGGACUGUAACUGACGUUGAGGCUCGAAAGCGUGGGGAGCAAACAGGAUUAGAUACCCCAGUAGUC